AUUGAACGCUGGCGGCAGGCCUAACACAUGCAAGUCGAGCGGUAGCACAGAGAGCUUGCUCUCGGGUGACGAGCGGCGGACGGGUGAGUAAUGUCUGGGAAACUGCCUGAUGGAGGGGGAUAACUACUGGAAACGGUAGCUAAUACCGCAUAACGUCGCAAGACCAAAGUGGGGGACCUUCGGGCCUCAUGCCAUCAGAUGUGCCCAGAUGGGAUUAGCUAGUAGGUGGGGUAACGGCUCACCUAGGCGACGAUCCCUAGCUGGUCUGAGAGGAUGACCAGCCACACUGGAACUGAGACACGGUCCAGACUCCUACGGGGGGCAGCAGUGGGGAAUAUUGCACAAUGGGCGCAAGCCUGAUGCAGCCAUGCUGCGUGUAUGAAGAAGGCCUUCGGGUUGUAAAGUACUUUCAGCGGGGAGGAAGGCGAUAAGGUUAAUAACCUUGUCGAUUGACGUUACCCGCAGAAGAAGCACCGGCUAACUCCGUGCCAGCAGCCGCCGUAA
rnacentral:rRNA from 1 species